AGGGAAUCUUCCGCAAUGGACGAAAGUCUGACGGAGCAACGCCGCGUGAGUGAGGAAGGCCUUCGGGUCGUAAAGCUCUGUUGUGAGGGAAGAAGCGGUACCGUUCGAAUAGGGCGGUACCUUGACGGUACCUCACCAGAAAGCCACGGCUAACUACGUGCCAGCAGCCGCGGUAAUACGUAGGUGGCAAGCGUUGUCCGGAAUUAUUGGGCGUAAAGCGCGCGCAGGCGGCUUCUUAAGUCUGAUGUGAAAUCGCGGGGCUCAACCCCGAGCGGCCAUUGGAAACUGGGGAGCUUGAGUGCGGAAGAGGAGAGUGGAAUUCCACGUGUAGCGGUGAAAUGCGUAGAGAUGUGGAGGAACACCAGUGGCGAAGGCGACUCUCUGGUCUGUAACUGACGCUGAGGCGCGAAAGCGUGGGGAGCAAAC
rnacentral:rRNA from 1 species